UACGGGGGGGGCAAGCGUUGUUCGGAAUUACUGGGCGUAAAGGGCUCGUAGGCGGCCAACUAAGUCAGACGUGAAAUCCCUCAGCUUAACUGGGAAACUGCGUCUGAUACUGGCGAGCUUGAGUGCAGGAGAGGAACGCGGAAUUCCAGGUGUAGCGGUGAAAUGCGUAGAUAUCUGGAGGAACACCGGUGGCGAAGGCGGCGUUCUGGACUGCAACUGACACUGAUGAACGAAAGCCAGGGGAGCAAACGGG
rnacentral:rRNA from 1 species